GACGAACGCUGGCGGCGUGCCUAAUACAUGCAAGUCGAGGGACCGGCGCACGGGUGAGUAACACGUAUCCAACCUGCCCUUUCCUCGGAGAUAGCCUUUCGAAAGAAAGAUUAAUCACCGAUGUAAAUGAUGGGGAUGCGUUCCAUUAGGUUGUUGUUGAGGUAACGGCUCACCAAGCCUGCGAUGGAUAGGGGUUAUGAGAGGAAGUUCCCCCACAUUGGAACUGCGACACGGUCCAAACUCCUACGGGAGGCAGCAGUGAGGAAUAUUGGGCAAUGGGCGUUAGCCUGAAACAGCAAAGGAGCGUGAAGGAUGAAGGCGUAUGGGUCGUAAAUUUCUUUUAUAUAAGAAUAGGUAUUAUAUGAAUAAGGAUCGGCUAACUCCGUGCCAGCCGCCGCGGUAAUAC
rnacentral:rRNA from 1 species